rnacentral:rRNA from 1 species
UGGGGAAUAUUGCACAAUGGGGGAAACCCUGAUGCAGCAACGCCGCGUGAGUGAAGAAGGUCUUCGGAUCGUAAAGCUCUGUUGUACGGGACGAUAAUGACGGUACCGUACAAGGAAGCCACGGCUAACUACGUGCCAGCAGCCGCGGUAAUACGUAGGUGGCGAGCGUUGUCCGGAAUUACUGGGUGUAAAGGAUGCGUAGGCGGAUAUUUAAGUCAGAUGUGAAACCCCCGGGCUUAACUCGGGGCAUGCAUUUGAAACUGGGUAUCUGGAGUGCAGGAGAGGAAAGCGGAAUUCCUAGUGUAGCGGUGAAAUGCGUAGAUAUUAGGAAGAACACCAGUGGCGAAGGCGGCUUUCUGGACUGUAACUGACGCUGAUGCAUGAAAGCGUGGGGAGCAAACAGG